rnacentral:lncRNA from 1 species
UGGUGGCAGGGAAAUUCGACUCCACAAACCACAGGCCUCGGCGGGGGAAGAGCCCGGCGGGCGCCAGCGAAGCGGAACCAAACGGAGCCGCGGCACGCAGGCGCAAAGGCUGGCGUUCGAGGUUCGUUUACGCGCCGCUUCGCCGUGCAGGUGGUGGCGAAGCGCUCCUCCGAAAGGUUUCGGAAGCUGGUGGUAGCUCUGAAGAUAACGCUGCGUUAGGGCAUACUGCGGCGGAGGAUGGAACUCCGAUUGAAAGCAGUUGCUGGAGUGGAGCACGAAUUUCAACAGUUGGAUGAAGUCUCACUCUGUUCCCCAUUUUUAACUUCAGGGGUCCAAGUGCAGGUUUGUUACACAGAGCCGCAUGUUGAAGUGUGAGGCGUGAAAGGGUAUGUCUGAUAUUUGCUUUAAAAUGCUCCAGCAAAGAAAUUAAGGGAUGGAUGAAGCAAAAGAGCCAGGUAUGGUGGCUCAUGCCUCUAAUCUCAGCACUUUGGGAGGCCGAAGCAGGCAGAUCACCUGAGGUCAGGAGUUUGAGACCAUCCUGACCAACAUGGUGAAACUCGUCUCUACUACAAACAUAAAAAAAUUAGCUGGGCGUGGUACCACGCACCUGUAAUCCCAGCUACUCCUCUGGAGGCUCAGACAGGAGAACUGCUUGAACCGGGAGGCGGAGGUUGCAGUGAGCUGAGAUCGCACCAAUCCAUUCCAGCCUGGGCAACAGAGUGAGACUCCAUCUCAUAAAAAAAAAAAAAGUAAAGAAAAAAAAGAAAAUGUCUUUAUUUCAUUUUCUUUCCUAAAGAAUAUAUUUGCUGGAUAAAGGAUUCUGUGUUGACAGUUUUGUUGCUUUUUAAAAGCACUUUAUAAAUGUUGCUCCAUGGUUUCUGAUGAGAAAUCUGCCAUCACUGAAAUCUUUGGUUCUCCUAUAUACAAAGUGUUGUUUUCUUCCAGUUGUUUUCAAAGUAUUUUCUUUACAGUUGGUUUCAUCACUUUGAUUAUGACGUGCCUGGGUGUGGUUUUCCUUUUUGGGAUUUGCUGUGCCAGCAGACCGGCUUUAAAUAGAAUGCUAUGUAAAUGUAUGUGAAUAUUUGUUUUUUGCCAGAUGUUUGGAAGUUUUUAGCUAUUAUUUCUUCAGAUAUUUUUUUCUUCCAAUUGUUCUUUCUGGGCUCCUAAGACAUGAAUAUUAGACUGUUUCAUAUUGUCCCACAGAUCCCCAAAGGUCUUCUCAUUUUUUUCACUUUUUUCUCUGUCAUUCAGACUAGAUAAUUUCUGCUCAUGUAUCUUCAAAUUUACUGACUCUUCCCUCAGUCAUCUUCAUUGUGUUGAGACC